GGACUUUAAGAACCUAUUUGGGCUUCAAUGUUUAACCAUAAGAACAAGCAAGCUGCAGGUAGGUCAUAUGAAAGUUGAUUAAUGUUCUGAGAGAAAACAUGGAUGAGAGUACAGUAGAUUAAGGUCCAAAUAUUCAGGUAGACUAUUUAAGUGGAGUGAUCAAACAGGGUCCUAUUAUUCCUUUUAAUAUAUGAAGGUAUAUCAAGUUUAAGUUGUUGGAAGUGUCCUCGUCUACAAUAGACACCAACAUAUGAACAUUUAUAUAUGUAUGUCUUGAGGUAAAGUCAUAUGUACAAGCUGAUACAAUUUAGUAUGAAAACCAGAUAAUGACGAUCGAAGAACCUCUAGAAUCAGAUAGAAAGAGAUGGAAUGUUAAACGUCUCAUCCUUGUAGUACUUUCUGUUAUCACUCCCAAAUCCCUUCAGUGGCAUGCUGAGAUUAUAAUUAAUACAAGAACUAGUUAAAAGAGAUCCAUAUACGCUUCUGGUUUCAAAGAUAGAGGAAUCACAAUUCAUGAUAAUCACCUAAUGAGUGUAGUUUCAAUUAUAUUUUGUCACACCUGAAUCUUGGCCGUUCAGUAUAUAACUUACCUGAUUAGAUAUUUUUAUUUUUAUUUUUUUUGGGUAAGUAAGAUUAUAUUAAUUGCCAAGGCAGUGUUACAGAAUAAAAGGGGCAUACCCCAGGCACCAACAAUAAUCCAAUAAAACACAAGUCUAUCAUGCAGUCAAGUCAUGAUUCAAAACGCAAGAUAUUUUGAACUCUUUCUAAGAAGAAUAUGAACUUGCUGUUGCAUUAAAGCAUCCUAGCUCUCUGUCAUGCAGUCAAGUCAUGAUUUGAGCUUUUCAGUUUGUGAAAAUACAGACUGGUUGUGAGAGUUUAACCUCU
rnacentral:lncRNA from 1 species